AUACCACUCCUUUAGCCCCCCACAAAAAAAAAAAAAAUUAUCUUCAAUUUUUGACCCCCCAUUUUAAAGAAAAAAACCCCUUUUUACAUCCAAAAUAAAAAUUUUACCAACAUUUUUGUGUGAUUUUUAACUUCAAAAUUAAGAAGAAAAAAACACACUUUGUAUUUAUACCCCCCAUAAAAAAAAAAAAAAUUUUUUUUGUAAAGAGCACACCAAAACCUUAAUCCUGGGGUUUUUUAUAAAACUCAUUUUUUCCCCUAAGGGGAGUAGUAUAGUACUUGAACGACUCCAGCGCCCCCCCCUCCAAAAAAAAAAAAAAUUUGACCCCCAAAAAAUUACCCUCAUUUCAAGUAAAAGAGCCCUAAAUUUUCAUAAAAAAAAAAGCAAAAAAACACCCCAAAAAACACCAAAUUUUCUUACUCCCAAAAAAAAUUUUUUUUUUACUUUUUUA
rnacentral:lncRNA from 1 species